rnacentral:rRNA from 1 species
UACGAAGGGGGCUAGCAUUGCUCGGAAUGACUGGGCGUAAAGGGCGCGUAGGCGGUUUGCACAGUCAGGCGUGAAAUUCCUGGGCUUAACCUGGGGGCUGCGCUUGAUACGUGUGGACUGGAGUGCGGAAGAGGGUCGUGGAAUUCCCAGUGUAGAGGUGAAAUUCGUAGAUAUUGGGGAAGAACACCGGUGGCGAAGGCGGCGACCUGGUCCGUGACUGACGCUGAGGCGCGAAAGCCGUGGGGAGCAAACAGG